rnacentral:rRNA from 1 species
GACGAACCGAGCGAACGUUGUUCGGAAUCACUGGGCUUAAAGGGCGCGUAGGCGGGCUGCCGCGUCCGGGGUGAAAUCCCACGGCUCAACCGUGGAACGGCCUCGGAUACGGGCGGCCUCGAGGGGGGUAGGGGCAUGCGGAACUGUGAGUGGAGCGGUGAAAUGCGUUGAUAUUCACAGGAACUCCGGUGGCGAAGGCGGCGUGCUGGACCCCAUCUGACGCUGAGGCGCGAAAGCCAGGGGAGCAAACGGG